GGUUAAGCGAAUAAGCGUACACGGUGGAUGCCUAGGCAAUCAGAGGCGAUGAAGGACGUGCUAAUCUGCGAAAAGCGUCGGUAAGGUGAUAUGAACCGUUAUACCCGACGAUAUCCGAAUGGGGAAACCCAGUAUCCAAUGGAUACUAUCAUUAACUGAAUCCAUAGGUUAAUGAGGCGAACCGGGAGAACUGAAACAUCUCAGUACCCCGAGGAAAAGAAAUCAACCGAGAUUCCCCUAGUAGCGGCGAGCGAACGGGGAGCAGCCCAGAGUCUUAAUCAAUAACAGUGUCAGGAGAACGGUCUGGAAAGUCCGGCAGUAAAGGGUGAUAGCCCCGUAUCUGAAGAUGCUGUUAUUGUGAACUCGACGAGUAGGGCGGGACACGUGUUAUCCUGUCUGAAUAUGGGGGGACCAUCCUCCAAGGCUAAAUACUCCUGAUUGACCGAUAGUGAACCAGUACCGUGAGGGAAAGGCGAAAAGAACCCCGGCGAGGGGAGUGAAAAAGAACCUGAAACCGUGUACGUACAAGCAGUAGGAGCCUCUUUAUGGGGUGACUGCGUACCUUUUGUAUAAUGGGUCAGCGACUUAUAUUCUGUAGCAAGGUUAACCGUAUAGGGGAGCCGUAGGGAAACCGAGUCUUAACUGGGCGAAUGAGUUGCAGGGUAUAGACCCGAAACCCGGUGAUCUAUCCAUGGGCAGGUUGAAGGUUGGGUAACACUAACUGGAGGACCGAACCGACUAAUGUUGAAAAAUUAGCGGAUGACUUGUGGAUGGGGGUGAAAGGCCAAUCAAACCGGGAGAUAGCUGGUUCUCCCCGAAAGCUAUUUAGGUAGCGCCUCGUGAACUCAUCUUCGGGGGUAGAGCACUGUUUCGACUAGGGGGUCAUCCCGACUUACCAACUCGAUGCAAACUGCGAAUACCGAAGAAUGUUAUCACGGGAGACACACGGCGGGUGCUAACGUCCGUCGUGAAGAGGGAAACAACCCAGACCGCCAGCUAAGGUCCCAAAGUCAUGGUUAAGUGGGAAACGAAGUGGGAAGGCUCAGACAGCCAGGAUGUUGGCUUAGAAGCAGCCAUCAUUUAAAGAAAGCGUAAUAGCUCACUGGUCGAGUCGGCCCGCGCGGAAGAUGUAACGGGGCUAAACCAUGCACCGAAGCUGCGGCAGCGACACAAAGUGUUGUUGGGUAGGGGAGCGUUCUGUAAGCCUGCGAAGGUGUACUGUGAGGUAUGCUGGAGGUAUCAGAAGUGCGAAUGCUGACAUAAGUAACGAUAAUGCGGGUGAAAAACCCGCACGCCGGAAGACCAAGGGUUCCUGUCCAACGUUAAUCGGGGCAGGGUGAGUCGACCCCUAAGGCGAGGCUGAAAAGCGUAGUCGAUGGGAAACGGGUUAAUAUUCCCGUACUGGUGGUAACUGCGAUGGGGGAACGGAGAAGGCUAGGUUGUCCGGGCGACGGUCGUCCCGGUUCAAGCAGGUAGGCAGAGUGAUUAGGCAAAUCCGGUCACUUAAUGCUGAGAUGUGAUGACGAACCACCAAGGUGGUGAAGCAAUUGAUGCCCCGCUUCCAGGAAAAGCCUCUAAGCUUCAGGUUACCAACAAUCGUACCCCAAACCGACACAGGUGGUCAGGUAGAGAAUACUCAGGCGCUUGAGAGAACUCGGGUGAAGGAACUAGGCAAAAUGGUGCCGUAACUUCGGGAGAAGGCACGCUGGCGGUAGGUAAAGUCCCUUGCGGACGGCGCUGAAGCCAGUCGAAGAUACCAGCUGGCUGCAACUGUUUAUUAAAAACACAGCACUGUGCAAACACGAAAGUGGACGUAUACGGUGUGACGCCUGCCCGGUGCUGGAAGGUUAAUUGAUGGGGUCAGCCGUAAGGCGAAGCUCCUGAUCGAAGCCCCAGUAAACGGCGGCCGUAACUAUAACGGUCCUAAGGUAGCGAAAUUCCUUGUCGGGUAAGUUCCGACCUGCACGAAUGGCGUAAUGAUGGCCAGGCUGUCUCCACCCGAGACUCAGUGAAAUUGAACUCGCUGUGAAGAUGCAGUGUACCCGCGGCAAGACGGAAAGACCCCGUGAACCUUUACUAUAGCUUGACACUGAACAUUGAGCCUUGAUGUGUAGGAUAGGUGGGAGGCUUUGAAGUGUGGACGCCAGUCUGCAUGGAGCCAACCUUGAAAUACCACCCUUUAACGUUUGAUGUUCUAACCUAGGCCCAUAAACUGGGUCGGGGACCGUGUCUGGUGGGUAGUUUGACUGGGGCGGUCUCCUCCUAAAGAGUAACGGAGGAGCACGAAGGUUGGCUAAGCAUGGUCGGACAUCAUGCGGUUAGUGCAAAGGCAUAAGCCAGCUUGACUGCGAGAGUGACGGCUCGAGCAGGUACGAAAGUAGGUCUUAGUGAUCCGGUGGUUCUGAAUGGAAGGGCCAUCGCUCAACGGAUAAAAGGUACUCCGGGGAUAACAGGCUGAUACCGCCCAAGAGUUCAUAUCGACGGCGGUGUUUGGCACCUCGAUGUCGGCUCAUCACAUCCUGGGGCUGAAGUAGGUCCCAAGGGUAUGGCUGUUCGCCAUUUAAAGUGGUACGCGAGCUGGGUUUAGAACGUCGUGAGACAGUUCGGUCCCUAUCUGCCGUGGGCGUUGGAAGAUUGAGAGGGGUUGCUCCUAGUACGAGAGGACCGGAGUGAACGCACCACUGGUGUUCGGGUUGUCAUGCCAAUGGCAUUGCCCGGUAGCUAAGUGCGGAAGAGAUAACCGCUGAAAGCAUCUAAGCGGGAAACUUGCCUCGAGAUGAGUCUUCCCUGUCGCUUUAAGCGACCUAAAGGAACGUUUAAGACUAAGACGUUGAUAGGCUGGGUGUGUAAGCGUAGCGAUACGUUGAGCUAACCAGUACUAAUGAACCGUGAGGCUUAACCUG
rnacentral:rRNA from 1 species